rnacentral:rRNA from 1 species
AUGUACACGGCGAGGAAGAAGAUCCAGAAGGACAAGGGCCUCGAGCCCUCCGAGUUCGAGGACUCCGUCGCGCAGGCAUUCUUCGACCUGGAGAAUGGCAGCCAGGAGCUCAAGAGCGACGUUAAAGACCUCUACAUCAACGCCGCCUUCCAGAUGGAUGUUGCAGGGAACAGGAAGGCCGUGGUCAUCCACGUGCCGUACAGGCUCCGCAAGAACUUCAGGAAGAUCCACGUCAGGCUUGUCAGGGAGCUCGAGAAGAAGUUCAGCGGCAAGGAUGUUGUUAUUGUUGCAACAAGGCGGAUUGUGAGGCCACCCAAGAAGGGUUCUGCUGUUGUUCGCCCUCGUACCAGGACUUUGACCGCUGUUCAUGAUGGUCUUUUGGAGGAUGUUGUGUACCCAGCUGAGAUUGUGGGGAAACGUGUCAGAUAUCGCCUAGAUGGCUCGAAGAUCAUCAAGAUCUUCUUGGACCCAAAGGAACGCAACAACACAGAGUACAAAUUGGAUACCUUCACUGCAGUGUACCGCAGGCUUUGUGGCAAGGAUGUUGUGUACGAGUACCCGGUUGCCGAAACUGCUUGA